rnacentral:rRNA from 1 species
GACGAACGCUGGCGGCGUGCUUAACACAUGCAAGUCGAACGGAAAGGCCCUGCUUUUGUGGGGUGCUCGAGUGGCGAACGGGUGAGUAACACGUGAGUAACCUGCCCUUGACUUUGGGAUAACUUCAGGAAACUGGGGCUAAUACCGGAUAGGAGCUCCUGCUGCAUGGUGGGGGUUGGAAAGUUUCGGCGGUUGGGGAUGGACUCGCGGCUUAUCAGCUUGUUGGUGGGGUAGUGGCUUACCAAGGCUUUGACGGGUAGCCGGCCUGAGAGGGUGACCGGCCCCAUUGGGACUGAGAUACGGCCCAGACUCCUACGGGAGGCAGCAGUGGGGAAUAUUGCACAAUGGGCGGAAGCCUGAUGCAGCAACGCCGCGUGCGGGAUGACGGUCUUCGGGUUGUAACCCGCUUUCGCCUGUGACGAAGCGUGAGUGACGGUAAUGGGUAAAGAAGCACCGGCUAACUACGUG